GGGAGGGACUCCUGUCGCAGGAGAGAUGGCGCCUACUGCCAUCAUUUUAAUUAAUUUCAAUUGAUUUGAUGACAAGAAGUAAGCUUCAUCUCUCCUCGACUGAAGCCCCUUUCAAU
rnacentral:pre_miRNA from 1 species